rnacentral:rRNA from 1 species
GACGAACGCUGGCGGCGUGCUUAACACAUGCAAGUCGAACGGAAAGGCCCUGCUUUUGUGGGGUGCUCGAGUGGCGAACGGGUGAGUAACACGUGAGUAACCUGCCCUUGACUUUGGGAUAACUUCAGGAAACUGGGGCUAAUACCGGAUAGGUGCUCCUGCUGCAUGGUGGGGGUUGGACAGUUUCGGCGGUUGGGGAUGGACUCGCGGCUUAUCAGCUUGUUGGUGGGGGAGUGGCUGACCAAGGCUUUGACGGGUACCCGGCCUGAGAGGGUGACCGGCCACAUUGGGACUGAGAUACGGACCAGACUCCUACGGGAGGCAGCAGUGGGGAAUAUUGCACAAUGGGCGGAAGCCUGAUGCAGCAACGCCGCGUGCGGGAUGACGGCCUUCGGGUUGUGAACCGCUUUCGCCUGUGACGAAGCGUGAGUGACGGUAAUGGGUAAAGAAGCACCGGCUAACUACGUG